rnacentral:rRNA from 1 species
CCUACGGGAGGCAGCAGUGAGGAAUAUUGGUCAAUGGGCGGAAGCCUGAACCAGCCAAGCCGCGUGCAUGAUGACGGCCCUACGGGUUGUAAACUGCUUUUAUACGGGAAUAACGCGCCUUACGUGUAGGGCUUUGCAUGUACCGUAUGAAUAAGGACCGGCUAAUUACGGGCCAGCAGCCGCGGUAAUACGGAAGGUACGGGCGUUAUCCGGAUUUGUUGGGUUGAAAGGGAGCGGAGGCCGCAUGUUAAGCGUGCUGUGAAAUGUCCGGGCUAAACCCGGGCCUUGCAGCGCAAACGGGCGUGCUUGAGUCCGCGGAAGGCAGGCAGAAUUCGAGGUGUAGCGGUGAAAUGCGUAGAGAUGACGAAGAACUCCGAUUGCGAAGGCAGCUUGCUGCAGCGAGACUGACGCUGAUGCUCGAAAGCGCGGGUAUCGAACAGGAUUAGAUACCCGGGUAGUC